rnacentral:rRNA from 1 species
AUUGAACGCUGGCGGCAUGCUUUACACAUGCAAGUCGAACGGCAGCGCGGGCUUCGGCCUGGCGGCGAGUGGCGAACGGGUGAGUAAUGCAUCGGAACGUGCCCAGUAGUGGGGGAUAGCCCGGCGAAAGCCGGAUUAAUACCGCAUACGACCUGAGGGUGAAAGCGGGGGACCGAAAGGCCUCGCGCUAUUGGAGCGGCCGAUGUCGGAUUAGCUAGUUGGUGGGGUAAAGGCUUACCAAGGCGACGAUCCGUAGCUGGUCUGAGAGGACGACCAGCCACACUGGGACUGAGACACGGCCCAGACUCCUACGGGAGGCAGCAGUGGGGAAUUUUGGACAAUGGGGGCAACCCUGAUCCAGCCAUGCCGCGUGCGGGAAGAAGGCCUUCGGGUUGUAAACCGCUUUUGUUCGGGAAGAAAUCCUCUGGGCUAAUACCCCGGGGGGAUGACGGUUCCGGAAGAAUAAGCACCGGCUAACUACGUG